rnacentral:rRNA from 1 species
GAUGAACGCUGGCGGCGUGCCUAAUACAUGCAAGUCGAGCGAAUGGAUUAAGAGCUUGCUCUUAUGAAGUUAGCGGCGGACGGGUGAGUAACACGUGGGUAACCUGCCCAUAAGACUGGGAUAACUCCGGGAAACCGGGGCUAAUACCGGAUAAUAUUUUGAACUGCAUGGUUCAAAAUUGAAAGGCGGCUUCGGCUGUCACUUAUGGAUGGACCCGCGUCGCAUUAGCUAGUUGGUGAGGUAACGGCUCACCAAGGCAACGAUGCGUAGCCGACCUGGGAGGGUGAUCGGCCACCCUGGGACUGAGACACGGCCCAGACUCCUACGGGAGGCAGCAGUAGGGAAUCUUCCGCAAUGGACGAAAGUCUGACGGAGCAACGCCGCGUGAGAGAUGAAGGCUUUCGGGUCGUAAAACUCUGUUGUUAGGGAAGAACAAGUGCUAGUUGAAUAAGCUGGCACCUUGACGGUACCUAACCAGAAAGCCACGGCUAACUACGUGCCAGCCGCCGCAGUAA